UUACUUUAGGCCCCUCCAUUCGGUACACCUGAGUCAAAUGACCUGCAGUCUCAAUCCACUUUGCUCUAAAUAGAAUCGAGGACAAAAGCGUACCCUGGCUGGGGGUGGGGCGGCGGCCGAUCUGCGCCUUUAGGCCCCUCCAUUCGGUACACCUGAGUCAAAUGACCUGCAGUCUCAAUCCACUUUGCUCUAAAUAGAAUCGAGGACUUUUAAAAAGCGUACAUGUGUUACUACUACUUACAUCCACAGUCACGUAUCAACUAAUUGCACAGGUACACGUUUCUCUCUUUGGUUGCUCCACUUUCUAACCUCUUUUUAUAGUUUUUCUCCUUCGCCUUUCACCUAUUACUGUUUCAUCAGCAGUGUGUUUCUAUGACAUCUGUUUUAUGCCUGUCCGGUUCUGUUUGUAUUUCCCGCCCCCAUAUUUGAUAUUUGUUUUUCACUGUCUCUCAAUGUUUUAUUGAUACUGCCCCCCUUUUCUUUUUACCAUUUAAUGCCUUUCUUGAAAAUUCUUUUAAGGGUGACGGUCUUCUCAUAUUUUCUUUUGCACCCCUUCUCACAAGUAGUGAGAAUCCUAUGUUUUGGUGAUGGCUUGGAGUGGGGGAAGCAAGGAGUCUUACUAAGCACUUUUGGAAAAAGGCUAGAAAUGCACGUCUGGAGGGAGGCUCUGGGAACAAGAGGAGGGACUUUUAGCUUUCAAACAUUUUCUGAGUCCUCAAUGCCGCUCAGAAUAGCUCACCCCCCACCCCACCCCCCGCCCAGGUGAAUGUAUGUAGAGGAGAUCUGACUUAAGAGAUAAAGUUCAGCCAUACAUUUCAAAAGACCUACCUUUUUUAUUUUUUGCUUUUUUUUUUAUUUGUCUGUUUUCAUUUUGUUUUUUUUCAGGCCAUAUCUGUAGCAUAUGGAGGUUUCCAGGCUGGGGGUCAAAUCAGAGCUGCAGCUGCCAGCUGCAGCCACAGCCACACAGAUCUGAUGCGACCUACACCACAGCUUGCAGCAAUGCCGGAUCCUUAACCCACGAGGCCAGGGAUACAACCCAAAUCCUCAUGGAUGCUAGCUGGGUUCUUAACUUGCUGAGGCACAGCAAGAACACCAAGACCUACAUUCUUAAUCUGCACAUGAUCAAUGCUCAAGUAUACUUGCUGGCCAAGCAUCAGAACAGGUGAACACAGUUUUUUUCAAUAUGAUCAGUACAUAAGCAGGUGUACUGUAGCAGACCCAAUUUCAGCUCAGGGUACCCACACUGGCAACCUGAGGCUGGUUACCAUGCCAGGUCCUGGCCUUGUGGCUUAGCUGUGGCCUGGAUAACCCGGGAAUAAGAAGCCAGUCUCUGGUGGCCCAUGGAAGGGACUGUUACUUCCAGGGAUCUAUGCAAGAAAAGCCAGAAUAUGAUUUAGUGCAAGGAAAUUUUCUUUGUGAGAGUCAGGAAAGAUUUUUCCUAUCUCUGGUCUCCAUAAACCACAACUACAGAGCAGUGUCAUUUCAAACUUGGUAAAAUAACACAUUUAGUUUCUCAAGAAUCUACUGGGCCUAGUCUAUGUCAAAUUCACACACUGUGCACUAAACAACCCCUUUAUCUCAUCAAAUACAAAAACAAAUAGAAACUUUUCAAACUAGUCAUGGUAAAGAAUCCAUUAAAAUAAAUAUCUCAGAGUUCCAGUCGUGACUCAGUGUUUAACAAACCAGACUAGUAUCUAUGACGAUCCUGUCCUUGCUCAGUGGGUUAAGAAUCCAGUGUUGCCGUGAGCAAUGGUAUAGAUUGCAGAUGCAUGCUUAGAUCUGGCAUUGCUAUGGCUGUGGUAUAGGCUGGCAGCUGCACCUCCAACUAGACCCUAGCCUGGGAAUCUCCAUAUGCUGUGGGUGCAGCCCUAAAAAGACAAAAGACAAAAUAAUAAAUAAAUACAUAAAUAUCUCUUUAUGACAAAUUUUCAAACAUGUGCAAAAUCAGAAGAAAUAAUACAGUGAAACCCAGCUUGUACCCAUCAUCUAUCUAUCUUCAGUAGUUAUAAUUAUUUUGCAAGUCUUCACCUAUUCCCUUAAUUUUUUUUCUGGAGGUAUUUUAAAGCAAAUUCUCAACACCAUGUUAUUUCUCUAGUAAAAAUUUCAGUAUGCCUCUCUACCUGAUGAGGACACUUUUUUUUUUUUACAUAACCAACAUGACAUUAUCCUAUUUGAACAAUUGCAGUGAUUCCUUGAUAUCUGCUAGUAACCAGCCCAUAUUCAAAUUUCUUUGUCUUUAAAAUGUCUUUUUUGGAGUUCCCAUCAUGGCUCAGCAGGUUAAGAAUCUGACUAGCAUCCUUGAGGAUGUGGGUUUGAUCCCUGGCCUCACUCAGUGGGUUAGGGAUCCGGCGUUGCUGUGAGCUUCAGCAAAGAUUGCAGAUGUGGAUUGGAUCUGGCAUGGCUGUUGCUGUGGCUGUGGCGUAGGCCACAGCUGCAGCUCUUUUUUUUUUUUUUGAUUACUCAAAUGAAUUUAUCACAUCUGUAGUUGUAUAAUGAUCAUAACAAUCUGAUUUCACAGGAUUUCCAUCCCACAGCCCAGGCACAUCUCCCCACCCCCCAAAGUGUCUCCUCUGGAGACCAUAAGUUUUUCAAUGUCUGUGAGUCAGCAUCUGUUCUGCAAAGAAGUUCAGUCUGUCCUUUUUUCAGAUUCCACAUGUCAGUGAAAGCAUUUGAUGUUGGUGUCUCAUUGUAUGGCUGACUCCACUUAGCAUGAUAGUUUCUAGGUCCAUCCAUGUUGCAAAAAAUGCUGGUAUUUCAUUCUUUUUAAUGGCUGAGUAAUAUUCCAUUGUGUAUAUGUACCACAUCUUNNNNNNNNNNNNNNNNNNNNNNNNNNNNNNUCUGAGGAAUCUCCAUACUGCUUUCCACAGUGGUUGCACCAAUUUACAAUCCCACCCACAGUGUCAUAGGGUUCCUUUUUCUCCCCACCCUCUCCAGCACUUAUUGUUUGUAGACUUUUGGAUGAUGGCCAUUCUGGCUGGUAGAAGGUGGUACCUCAUCGUGGUUUGAUUUGCAUCUCUCUAAUAAUGAGUGAUGUUGAACAUCUUUUCUUGUGUUUCUUGGCCAUCUGUAUGUCUUCUUUGGAGAAUUGUCUGUUUAGAUCUUCUGCCCAUUUUUUGAUGGGGUUGUUUGUUUUUUUGGUAUGGAACUGCAGAAGUUGUUUAUAAAUUUUUGGAGAUUAAGCAGCUCUGAUUCAACCCCUAGCCUGGGAACUUCCAUAUGCCACAGGUAUGGCCCUAGAAAUAAAAAAAAAAUAAUAAAAUAAAAUGACUUUUCUUAAGGUUAAUUUAUUCAAAUCAGGACCCAAAUAUGAUCCACAUAUUACAUUUGAUUAUUAUGUUUGAACUCCUUUUUAUUUUACUCUCUUAUAGACUUAAAAAAUAAAAAUAAUGCCACUGAUUUGUUUGAAAAUGGGCCACAUCAUGUAGAAUGUUGCACAUUCUGGGUUUAUCUAACUCCUUCUUCAGGGUGUCAUGUCACUAG
rnacentral:lncRNA from 1 species